GCCGGGGUGUUGGGGAGCGAGCGGGGCUGGUGGCGGCUCAUGAGGGCCCCCGGGCAGGAGUAGCGCAAGCCCGGUGGGGUUUGAGCGCUGCUAGGUCUGAGGGAAGCCGGUUCCGCUCCCCAGACAGGCCCUGUGGUUCAGCCGGACGGUUCCGCAGCCGCUUCCCCCGGGGCGGAGGCCGAGCUUGGGCCCCGGAGGGGUGAAUGUGCCGCGCCUUUGUUCCCGGCUUUUCUGCAGCGCGGUGCUCCCACCCUCCAGUCCCCUGCCAGUGCAUCCAGGCACAUCCAGGAGCGGCUUUGGCACUCCAGGUGCUCAGGCCCUGUGACUCUGGUGAACUGCUCUGUAUUAAUGAAUUAUCCACUUUUGCAAGAAUUUGCUUUCAAUAAAUGCAUAAGCAUGGCUUA